UACUAAAUGUCCGAAAAUAGGUGAUAGAUUUUUAAUCUAUUUAUGAUAAUUAAUAUCUUUAGUAA
rnacentral:tRNA from 1 species